rnacentral:sRNA from 1 species
ACUGGGCAUGGUGGUGCAUGCCUGUAAUCCCAGCAACUUGAGUGGCUGAGGUAGGAGGAUUAUAAGUUCGAGGCCAGCCUCACCAAUAUAGUGAGGACCUAAGCAACUUAGUGAGACCCUGUCUCAA